UACGGUGGGGGCAAGCGUUGUUCGGAAUUACUGGGCGUAAAGGGCUCGUAGGCGGCCAACUAAGUCAGACGUGAAAUCCCUCGGCUUAACCGGGGAACUGCGUCCGAUACUGGAUGGCUUGAGUUCGGGAGAGGGAUGCGGAAUUCCAGGUGUAGCGGUGAAAUGCGUAGAUAUCUGGAGGAACACCGGUGGCGAAGGCGGCAUCCUGGACCGACACUGACGCUGAUGAGCGAAGGCUAGGGGAGCGAACGGG
rnacentral:rRNA from 1 species